UGCUGGUUCUGAGUGAGACCUAGUGGUACAAACUGGGAUCCAAUGGGAGGUGCUGGUUCUGACAGGCUUAGUGGUACAAACUGGGAUCCAAUGGGAGGUGCUGGUUCUGAGUGAGACCUAGUGGUACAAACUGGGAUCCAAUGGGAGGUGCUGGUUCUGAGUGAGACCUAGUGGUACAAACUGGGAUCCAAUGGGAGGUGCUGGUUCUGACUGAGACCUACUGGGACUUGGUACAGACUGGGAUCCAAUGGGAGGUACUGGUACUGACUGAGGCUUGGUGGGAGCUAAUGGUACAAACUGGGCUCUAAUGGGAGGUACUGGUACUGACUGAGGCUUAGUGGGAGCUAAUGGUACAAACUGGGCUCUAAUGGGAGGUACUGGUACUGACUGAGGCUUAGUGGGAGCUAAUGGUACAAACUGGGCUCUAAUGGGAGGUACUGGUUCUGACUGAGGCUUAGUGGGAGCUAAUGGUACAAACUGGGCUCUAAUGGGAGGUACUGGUACUGACUGAGGCUUAGUGGGAGCUAAUGGUACAAACUGGGCUCUAAUGGGAGGUACUGGUACUGACUGAGGCUUAGUGGGAGCUAAUGGUACAAACUGGGCUCUAAUGGGAGGUACUGGUACUGACUGAGGCUUAGUGGGAGCUAAUGGUACAAACUGGGCUCUAAUGGGAGGUACUGGUACUGACUGAGGCUUAGUGGGAGCUAAUGGUACAAACUGGGCUCUAAUGGGAGGUACUGGUACUGACUGAGGCUUAGUGGGAGCUAAUGGUACAAACUGGGCUCUAAUGGGAGGUACUGGUUCUGACUGAGGCUUAGUGGGAGCUAAUGGUACAAACUGGGCUCUAAUGGGAGGUACUGGUUCUGACUGAGGCUUAGUGGGAGCUAAUGGUACAAACUGGGCUCUAAUGGGAGGUACUGGUACUGACUGAGGCUUAGUGGGAGCUAAUGGUACAAACUGGGCUCUAAUGGGAGGUACUGGUUCUGACUGAGGCUUAGUGGGAGCUAAUGGUACAAACUGGGCUCUAAUGGAGGUACUGGUUCUGACUGAGGCUUAGUGGGAGCUAAUGGUACAAACUGGGCUCUAAUGGGAGGUACUGGUACUGACUGAGGCUUAGUGGGAGCUAAUGGUACAAACUGGGCUCUAAUGGGAGGUACUGGUACUGACUGAGGCUUAGUGGGAGCUAAUGG